rnacentral:misc_RNA from 1 species
UCAAACUUGGUCAUUUAGAGGAAGUAAAAGUCGUAACAAGGUUUCCGUAGGUGAACCUGCGGAAGGAUCAUUAUUGAAUUUAAUGAAGAGUUGGUUGUAGCUGGCCCCCCUUCCCCCUAUGAGGUUUGGGCAAUGUGCACACCUUCUCUCUCAUCCAUACACACCUGUGCACUUGUGAGAUGGCUGGGGAAUUUAUUUAUUAAUUUUCUUCAGAGAAGAGAUAAAUUAUUGACCCCUCUGUCUACUCAAUUCAUAUAAACUCAAUUAAUUUUAAAAUGAAUGUACUGGAUGUAACACAUCUAAUACUAAGUUUCAACAACGGAUCUCUUGGCUCUCGCAUCGAUGAAGAACGCAGC